rnacentral:pre_miRNA from 1 species
UCUUAUGGAUGAGCAAAGAAAGUGGUUUCUUGAGAUGGAAUUUACUCUUGGUGAAGAUACCAUGAA